GCGGAGUGUUGGCAAAUUUCCAUUGCACGGGCAUUGCAUGCUCGAAAGUUUUCUCGCCGGCCACUUGGUCCAGAGGCACGGCAUCGGAAAUUUCUUUCAAGUCCUCUUCCUCGAGUUUCAGAGCCAUAGCGCCAAUGUUCGCGUCCAGGUUCUUAAUUUUCGUCGUCCCUGAGGAAUUUGAAGCAAAUAAAGCAUGAAUGAACAGUGUAGCUCAUGUUCAUCAAAUUUUAAAACAUGACAAACUCAUUGGCAUCAUGCAAUUGCAAACAAGAUCAUGCAAAUUUAGCGAAGAUGAUCAUCUUAGAAUGCAAAUGAAAUCAGUGAGUCGACUCACCGGGGAUCGGAACAAUGUCAUUUCCUCUGUGGAGAACCCAUGAGAGAGCUAGUUGAGCAGCACUGCAUUCGUGUUUUUUAGCAAGGCUUUCGAUUCGAUGAUAUAUCUGUUUAUUUUUCUCCAAGUUCUCUCCUGUCAGCCGAGGAUGUGCAUCCUACGCACCGAAAACAAAUCAAUUUCUUUCGUUAAGUUUAAAAUUAGCUUAAUUAGCUCUGUGUUUUGAAAAACCGAGUGAGCAGAGCAGAGCAUAGAACAAUGCGCAUAUGUAAUGAAGAAAUUAAUAUCCACCCCAUGAGCUGUAGCAUCCACUUUCUCCAAAACCGCUUUUCCGGCGAAAAAACCAUGUCCAAGAGGACUAUAUGGAACGAUUCCAAUGCCACGCUCCCUGCAUACGUAUGAAUGUGUUACAAUUUGCCAACAUUUGCACAAAACUUAAGCGUCCGUAUCCGGAUGGUAGGAGAGAUCAUAUACCUGCAAAGUGGAACAAUCUCUUCCUCGAUAUCACGAGUCCAAAGCGACCACUCCAUUUGUAUGGCUGUGAUGGGAUGAACUGCAUGAGCCCUCCUAAUCGUGUCCGGGCUCGCUUCUGAUAAUCCAAUAUAUUUUAUCUUUCCUUCUUCCACAAGUUUCUUCAGCUCCCCCAUCUGAACUCCAAGAAAACAAGAAAAUAAGUAUCUAAUUAAUCAGAUUUUAGUCUUCGGAUUGCAUAUUUAGUGCAAAUUUGGGCGGUUUUAGGACCAAGGAAGAGAAGAAUGCAAGUAAACACGGAUUACAUAAUUUACAUACCGUGUCCUCGAUAGGCACGGAUUGAUCCACCCGGUGUUGGUAGUAGAGAUCAAUGUAGUCGACACCAAGGCGCUUCAAGCUCGCCUCGCAGCACGACCUCACAUACUCCGGAUCGCCCCUUACUUCAAUACGACCGUGUCCGAUGCCUACAACACCGAAUUUCGUGGCCAACUGAACUUUUUCUCUCGGCAUUUCCUUCAAGGCCUAAAGAUUCAUACAAUGUUCAUCAGUGUUUGUUAAGCAAUAGCGAUAAUCUGAUUAGCGGAGUUCGCGUAAUUAAUUAGCUAACUUAAUUGAUCGAUAAUAAUACCUCGCCAACAAGAAUUUCAUUGGAGUGAUCAGUUCCAUACAUAUCAGCUGUGUCAAAGAAGGUGAUUCCUUUACUAAAGGCAUGUUUUAUUACUGAGAUUCCUUCGUUUUCGGCAUCCGGCGAGUUUAUCCAGCUCAGUCCCAUGCAUCCAAACCCUAAUUUUGACACCUGAAGAUAGACCAAGGCGAAUUAAUUAAUAAUUUUCGGAAAAACGCUUAAACAGAAUUUUUUACAAAUAUUCAAACAAAAUUAGAAUUUUUUUCACCGAAAAGACACGAAACGGACAAUAGAAGGGUACUAAUCCAAAUCAGCAUUGAAAAAAAUUACCUCAAAUCCUUGGGUUCCAAGUUUAACUCUUGGAAUCUGUAUUUCUUGCCCCUCUGCCAUAUUAUUCCUCUUUUCCAAUGAUAGUUUCUUUUGAUUGCUUCCACUAUUAGAAGAUGAAUCCCAAAUGUAAGUAGGAUUGAGUGCCACACAUCACUAGUAUAUUAUAUAUAAUAUAAAAAUAUAUAUCUUUAUAUAUUUACGUAUCACUAAGUUUGUCAACAUAUAUAUCUUUAUAUAUUUGUAUGCUGACAUCAUUAGGUAUGUCACUAUGUAAUGGGGGAGUAUUUGGCACAGCGAAUAAGUUUCUCUUUGUGACAAAAAAAUCACGGGUUCAAAACAUAGAAACAACAUCUUUGUAAAAUAAAGGCAAUGUUUCAUAUCCUUGAACCCUUGUAAAACGGAAAACUGGUUAUAAAUUUAUAUACUAACACCACUAAGUAUUUCACGUCACUAUGUCAUGGGAGAGUAUUUUACGCAACAUAAAGAUUGCUCCUUUGUGACCAAAAGAUCACGGGUUCAAGUCGUGAAAACAGCUUAUUUGUAAAGCAAAUGUAAAACUGCGUAUGAUAAACGUUUCUUCCCCGACUCUAACAAAGCAUAGAGUUUUAUUAGCAUGAGAUCGCGCUUUUAUGUAUAUAUACUAAUAUAUGCCUAGACACAAAGUGUGUGAAAUUUUUUACUUUUGUUUUUAAAAUUGAAGGAGAGGAAGAGAGUGAGAGAAUGUGGGAGUUGGGAGAUAGGGAGAGAGGUUUGUUUUUUAUUUAUUUUUUAAUUAGAAAUGAUAAAAUCGUUUGUAUAUGAGGUUUAAACAAAAAAAAAUCAAAAUGUUAUUUUAUAAAUUUAAGCUACUAUCCUUAAUUUUUUUUAUUGUAAAAGACAAAAUAUCUUUUACCCUUUUUAAUUGAUAAAGAUAAUUUCAUUAAUAAAUAGUUUAAUAUAUAUUUAUAUAUUUAUAUACUGACAUCACUAAGUAUGUCACAUGCCACGUGGGAAUAUCUAGAGCAACUUUUGACUACCGGCAUCCAUAUAUUAUGUUACUAUCUUACCUCAUUGACUACGUCAUGUGCAUCUAUGUCUAUUCUUUCUUCCAUCAUUGAUCCAGUUUCUAUACUACUCAUGUUAUUUAAUUAAUUUAGGUAGCGUUUAAAAAGGGACGAGAUGGAAUUGGAUGAAACGAAGAUACCACCUCUCUCAUAUGGACACUGCUGUAACAGUAUUUUACAUAACAAUGUGCUAUGCACUGUCAGACGUUAAUCUAAAAAGCAAAAAUCAAAGUAAAUAAGAGAAGCUCUAAGAAUGCUAUUUUUUUAAGUACCUACUGCAUGCACUAUGCCUAAGACAUAUUCGAGUUUAUAUGGUCUUUAAUCAUUCAGCUUAAACCGUUAAAUCAAAUUCAACGAUCAAAUUUUGUUUGAAAAAAAAAUUUCAACGAUCAAAUAUUUGUUGUUAUUGAAUGCGUGUAGAUGCUCAAGAAAAAUCCAACGUUAAUCUAAAAAACAAAAAUCAAAGUAAAUAAGAGAAGCUCUAAUUAUCUCAAAACGGAAAAUGUUGUUGGUUCGGAGUAGCUUUUUUUUAUAUAUAUUUAUAUACUAACAUCACUAAUUAUCUCACUAAGUCAUGGGGGAAUAUUUGACACAACGGAAAUGUUACUCCUUUGUAGCCAAAAUGUUACGGGUUCGAGUCGUGUAAACAACUUAUUUGUAAAGUAAGGAUAACACUGCGUAUGAUAAACGUUCCUCCUCCGACUCUAGCAAAGCAUAGAGCCUUGUUAGCAUGAGAUCGUUCUUAUUUAUAAACUGACAUCACUAAGUAUGUCACACGCCACGUGGGAAUAACUAGGGCAACUUUUGACUACCAGCAUCCAUAUAUUAUGUUACUAUCUUACAUCAUUGACUAUGUCAUUGUGCAACUAUGUUGCUAUUCUUUCUACCAUCAUUGAUCACGGUUCUAUACUCAUCAUAUUAUUUUAUUAAUUUAGGUAGUGUUUGGUAUAAAAACGGGACAUAAUGAAAUAAAAUGGGACGAGAUGAAUGGGAUGAAGCGGAGAUACCACCUCUCUCACCGAGACACUACUGUAAUGGUAUUUUACAUAACAAUGUGCUAUGCAAUAUCAAACGUUAAUCUAAAAAACAAAAGUCAAGCGUGUUGGGAAAAAAUUUAGAGUACACAACUCUAACACAAGUGUUGGAGAGACAACAUAAGUAAACAAAUUACUUGUAUUACACACACAAAAUAUUACAACACUCACAAGGACACAACUUUAGAAGCAAUGACACUCACUCACCUUCUAGAGACAAACUCUAGAUCACUCACACUCCUACAAGACUAUUCUUGCUUCUCACUCUCACUUGGUUGGUUGGUUGCUUGCUUGGUUGGUUCUUGCUUAGCACCUCACCUAUUUAUAGGUGAGGUUUGCCGACAUUGGACAUUGCUAGAUCAUUCUAGCUACUAAUAGCCAUAUAAUAUUACAACUUGCUAGAAUUAUCUAGCUUAUUAUGCAUGCCCACCGACACACUCAUGCUAGAAGAUUCUAGCAUAUGCAUGCUUUCUUUGUUUCUUUAUCAUGGGCCAGUCUUUAUUAUUUGGGCUGGUGUUGUACUUUUAACAAAGCGUAAAUGAGAGAAGCUUUAGGAAUGCUAUUUUUCUUGAGUACGUACUACAUGCACUAUGCACGACACAUAUUCGAGUUUUCAUUUUGAUCCAAGAGUCUUUAAUUACUUAGUUUAAACCAUUAAAUCAAAUUCAACAAUCAAAUAUUUUUUGUCAUUGAACGCGUGCAGAUGCUCAGGAAAAAUCGCUAGAAGCCUAGCUAAAUGGAUUAUACCGCAUGGCCAUAGUAUUAUUCCCUGCCCUUCAGCUUCAGCCAUAUUAUUCUUCUUUAAUUUUCUCCAAGUGAUUUCUUUUGAUUGCUUCCUGCAAUUUAGAUCAAUCCCAAAACCAAAAUAGGAUUUGGUAUAUGUAUUAAAUCAGCCUAUCAAUUCUCAGCAGCUUCAUUUUAUUUAGCUGCAGCUGUUCUUUUAUCUAGAUUAAUCAUAAAUAGGUUGAAGAAACUAAAAAUAAAAUAAAAACAAUUAAAAGAAUAGAAGAAAAUGGGUAUUAAAGCUUCAUUUUAAUCCUUGAAAAAUAUGACUUUUAAACUAUAACUUUGUGUUAGAUUAAAAUUCAAUUUUCGUCCCUGAUUCAUUUAAUAACUUCAUUUAUUGAUUAUAUUUUGAUGUUUUAUUUCUCUUUUUCUUCCUAAUUUUAUUGUAAUAAUUAUAUUUAAACCCAAUGUUCAUUUCAUUUAUCACAAUAUAUGUUGUUAUAGAAAUUUAGGUUAAACUAAUAUAUAUAUAUAUAUAUAUAUAUAUAUAUAUAUAUAUAUAUUUUUUUUUUUUUUUUUUAAGAAACGAUAUAUUAUUUAAACCCAAUUUUCAUUUCAUGGAGCACAUAAUGAACUAUUGUCAGUCGUUAAUGGAUGGAGUUAUGUUUGAGAAGCAGAAGAAACUGGUUUACAUGUCGUAUCAUGUGGGGAAUGUGGAAGGGGAAGGUUUGAUGAUAAAGAUGCCGGCGCCAGAAGGCGGGCUCGCAAGGACGUUUAUGGUGACAUUGCCGGAGGAGGAGCUUGCCCAAUUAUGCGAGGCAGAAGCUAUUUCGAGCCUUAACCCUACAAUGAUACUAAGUGGGAAGACAAACUAUAUAAAAUUUUCUAUAGCUUUGAAAUACAUUAUAUUUGUAAGACUUUAUAGACUUUAAGAAUUGAAGAUUUAUCAAUUUUACAAUAGUUGGUUAAGAGCAUUCCACCUUACAUUUUUCUCGAGUUCGACUCCCCCUCCCCCAAUAUCGUCGUAACAAAAACACCUUACAACUCUCUAACUAAUUAGAAAGAGAGACUGUUAACUAACACAAAUGCCGGACUCUUAAAGAGUUGAAAAUUAGAGCGCACAUAACAAACUGAUGAACAAAUGGUCUACAAAACUAGGAAUAUUAUUGAAAAUGAAGAAAUACUACAAAUUUGUCGAGACGGCUACAUAAUCCAAACUGACUACAUUGUGACUCACUCGUUUAUCAUACUAAAGUACAAACUAUAUUUAUAGAGAACAAAAUCUAAGAAACUUUAACUCUCCUAACAAUGGAUAUUAUCUACAUGAACCCAAAUAAUUAAAUAAACAUAAAAGGACUAGUAUUUUCCAACAUUAGGCAUAUCAUCAAAGGUCUGGCUCAAAUUUAAAUCCUUAAUUCGGAUUCCUUCGCGGAGUGUUGGCGAAUUUCCAUUGCAGGGGACUUGCAUUUUCGAAAAUUUUCUCGCCGGCUACUUCGUCGAGAGGCACAGCAUCGGAAAUUUCUUUCAGGUCCUCUUCUUUGAGUUUCAGCGCCAUAGCGCCAAUGUUCACAUCCAGGUUCUUAAUUUUCGUCGUCCCUGAGGAAAUUCAAAGCAAAUGAAGUACAAACGAACAAUGUAACUCAUCUUCAUCAAAUUUUAAGGCAUGACAAACUCAUUGGCAUCAUGCAAUGCAAACAAGAUCCUGCAAAUUUAGCACAUAUGAUCAUCUUAGAAUGCAAAUGCAAUCAGUUAGUUGACUCACCGGGGAUCGGAACAACGUCAUUUCCUCUGUGGAGAACCCAUGAGAGGGCUAGUUGAGCAGCACAGCAUUCGUGUUUUUUAGCAAGGUUUUCGAUCCGAUAAUAUAUCUGUUUGUUUUUUUCCAAGUUCUCUCCUGUCAACCGAGGAUGUGCAGCCUAAAUUACACACCGAAAAUAAAUCAAAUUUCUUUGUUAAGUUUAAGAUUAGCUUAAUUAGCUCUGUUUUUCAAAACUUAAGUCAGCAAAGCAUAAAACAAUGCGCAUAUGUAACGAAGAAAUUAGUAUCUACCGCAUGAACUUUAGAAUCCAAUUUCUCCAAAACCGCUUUUCCGGCAAAAAAACCACGGCCAAGAGGACUAUAUGGAACGAUUCCAAUGCCACGUUCCCUGCAUACGUAUAAAUGUGUUACAAUUUACCAACAUUUGCACAAAAACUUAAGCGUCCGUAUGGCAACCAUUUUCGUUUUCAGUUUUUGAUAACAUGAUUACCUGCAAAGUGGAAUAAUCUCUUCCUCGAUAUCACGAGUCCAAAGUGACCACUCCAUUUGUAUGGCUGUGAUGGGAUGAACUGCAUGAGCCCUCCUAAUCGUGUCCGGGCUCGCUUCUGAUAAUCCGAUAUACUUUAUCUUUCCUUCUUCCACAAGUUUCUUCAGCUCCCCCAUCUGAACUCCAACAAAACAAGAAAAGCAGUAUCUAAUUAAUCAGAUUUUAGUCCGGACUGGCUUCGGAUUGCGCAUUUAGUGCAAAUUUACGCGGUUUUAGGACUGAGGAAGAGAAGAAUACAAGUGAACAUGGAGUACACACCGUGUCCUCAAUAGGUACGGAUUGAUCCACCCGGUGUUGGUAGUAGAGAUCAAUGUAGUCGACACCAAGGCGCUUCAAGCUCGCCUGGCAGCACGACCUAACAUACUCCGGAUCGCCCCUUACUUCCCAACGAGGCUGUCCGUGUCCGAAGCUUAUACUUACAAUACCGAAUUUCGUGGCUAACUGAACUUUUUCUCUCGGCAUUUCCUUCAACGCCUAAAGAUUCAUACAAUGUUCAUCAAUAUUUGUUUAACAAUGGCGAGAGUCCAAUUAGCGGAGUUCGUGUAAUUAAUUAACUUAAAUCGAUCGAUAAUAAUACCUUGCCUACAAGAAUUUCAUUGGAAUGAUCAGGUAGAAUUUCAUUGUAAUUCACAGUUCCAUAUAUAUCAGAUGUGUCGAAGAAGGUGAUUCCUUUGCUGAAGGCAUGUUUUAUUACUGAGAUUCCUUCCUUUUCGGCAUCUGGAGAGUUUAUCCAGCUAAGUCCCAUGCAUCCAAGCCCUAAUUUUGACACCUGAAGAUGAUCAAGGUGAAAUAAUUAAUAAUUUUUGGAGAUACGCAUCGAUAGAAUGUUUUACAAAUAUUCAAUCAAAAUUCAAAAGAUUUAUUCAAGAGGCUCUAAACCAACAAUGAAAGGGUACUAAAACGCGAUGAAUCCAAAUCAGCAUUGAAAGAAAUUACCUCAAAUCCUUGGGUUCCAAGUUUAACUCUUGGAAUCUGUAUUUCUUGCCCCUCGGCCAUAUUAUUCCUCUUUUCCAAUGAUAGUUUCUUUUGAUUGCUUCCACUAUUAGAAGAUGAAUCCCAAACGUAAGUAGGAUUGAGUGCCACACAUCACUAGUAUAUUAUAUGUAAUAUAAAAUAUAUAUCUUUAUAUAUUUACGUAUCACUAAGUUUGUCAACAUAUAUAUCUUUAUAUAUUUGUAUACUGACAUCAUUAAGUAUGUCACUUUGUAAUGGGGGAGUAUUUGGCACAGCGAAUAAGUUUCUCUUUGUGACAAAAAAAUCACGGGUUCAAAACAUAGAAACAACAUCUUUGUAAAAUAAAGGCAAUGUUUCAUAUCCCUGAAUACUUGUAAAACGGAAAACUUUGUUGGUUAUAAAUUUAUAUACUAACACCACUAAGUACGUCACGUCACUAUGUCAUGGGAGAGUAUUUUACGCAACAAAAAGAUUGCUCCUUUGUGACCAAAAGAUCACGGGUUCAAGUUGUGAAAAUAGUUUAUUUGUAAAGCAAAGGUAAAACUGCAUAUGGUAAAUGUUUCUUCCCCGACUCUAGCAAAGCAUAGAGUUUUAUUAGCAUGAGAUCGCGCUUUUAUGUAUAUAUACUAAUAUAUGCCUAGCCACAAAGUGUGUGAAAUUUUUUACUUUUGUAUUUAAAAUUGAAGGAGAGGAAGAGAGUGAGAGAAUGUGGGAGUUGGGAGAUAGGGAGAGAGGUUUGUUUUUUAUUUAUUUUUUAAUUAGAAAUGAUAAAAUUAUUUGUAGAUGAGGUUUAAACAAAAAAAAUCAAAAUGUUAUUUUAUAAAAUUAAGUUACUAUCCUUAAUUUUUUUAUUGUAAAAGACAAAAUAUCUUUUACCCUUUUUAAUUGAUAAAGAUAAUUUCAUUAAUAAAUAGUUUAAUAUAUAUUUAUAUAUUUAUAUACUGACAUCACUAAGUAAGGGCCGGCCCAGGCCCAGUGCAAGCAGGGCAACCGUCCGGGGCCCAAAAAUAUUGGGGGCACCAAAAUUAUUAGGGUGGUAUAUUUAUAUAUGUUUUCAUAAGAGUAUAAAUUUAUACAAUUUGGUUCAAUGACACAGAAAUUUAAGUAGAAAAGGUGGUUUGGUCAUUUGAAAAUAAUGAGAGGUCUUGAGUUCAAAACACCACAUGUGCUUAUUUACUUUCUAAUUUUUACAAAUUUCUUUUCAGAAGAGUAUAAAUUUAUAAAAUUUGGUUAAAGGAUCAAGAAGUUUAAUUAUAAGCAAUGGUUUUUGUUGUUUAAAAUUAGCAAGAGGUCCUAAGUUCGAAACGCUAUGGGCAUGUUUAUUUUUUUCAAUUUUAACAAAUUCGAAACGCUAUGGGCAUGUUUAUUUUUUUCAAUUUUAACAAAUUUUUGUUUGGUUGUUAAUUUUUUUUAGUUACUAGCUAGUAGCUAUGUAACUUGUUAUUUUUAAAUAUUUGUUUCAAUUCAAGUCUAAUCUUCAACAAUGAGUAAUAAGUAGACCAAAUUUGUAGCGCAAAUUUGUAAAUUAUAUGACGUGUUAUCAAAAUAUUUAAUUUAAUGCUCAUUCAUUACUAAUACAUAUCAAUUAAAGACUCGAAAACAUCAUUAUUUUUUUAGUCCCAUAUUGACAAGGUUAGUAAAUAAGAAAAAACACCUCAUGAUUUAUACAAAAACACUUUCAAAGUUCAAAUGGAAAACAAAACUCAUUAUCUAUCUACUUAUAAGCCCAGAGUUGUUUGGUUUUCUUCUCUCAAUACAAAAUAAAUUAGUUUUUUUGUGUUUCUAAAUUAUUGAGUUUGAAGUGCUUUUUUAAGUAUAAUUUUAUCAAUGUCUUACAUGUGAAAAUAAAUAAUUUUCUUAUAUGAAUUUGGGCACUUUUUUUGGCGUCUCCCCGGACCUAAAAAAUCUCUGGCCUGGCCCUGAGUAUGUCACAUGCCACGUGGGAAUAACUAGAGCAACUUUUGACUACCGGCAUCCAUAUAUUAUGUUACUAUCUUACCUCAUUGACUACGUCAUGUGCAUCUAUGUCUAUUCUUUCUUCCAUCAUUGAUCUUGUUUCUAUACUACUCAUAUUAUUUCAUUAAUUUAGGUAGCGUUUAAAAAGGGACGAGAUGGAAUUGGAUGAAAUGAAGAUACCACCUCUCUCAUAUGGACACUGCUGUAACGGUAUUUUACAUAACAAUGUGCUAUGCACUGUCAAACGUUAAUCUAAAAAGCAAAAAUCAAAGUAAAUAAGAGAAGCUCUAAGAAUGCUAUUUUUUUUAGUACCUACUACAUGCACUAUGCCUAACACAUAUUCAAGUUUUCAGGGUCUUUAAUCAUUCAGCUUAAACCGUUAAAUCAAAUUCAACGAUCAAAUUUUGUUUUAAAAAAAAAUUUGAACGAUCAAAUAUUUGUUGUCAUUGAAUGCGUGUAGAUGCUCAAGAAAAAUCCAACGUUAAUCUACAAAACAAAAAUCAAAGUAAAUAAGAGAAGCUCUAAGAAUGCUACUUUUCUUGAGUACCUGCUAAAUGCGCUUGACAAAUAUUUGAGUUUUUAAUUUAAUUCAAGGAUCUUUAAUCACUUAGUUUAAACCAAAUCAAAUUCAACGAUCAAAUAUUUUUGUCAUUGAAUACGUGUAUAUGCUCAAGAAAAAUAGCUAGAAACGCAGCUAAAUGGGUAUACCGCAAGGCCACAUUACUCCCUGCCCUUCAGCUUCAGCCAUAUUUAUUCUUCUUUAAUUUUCUCCAAACGAUUUCUUUUUAUUACUUCCUGCAAUUUAGAUCAAUCCCAAAAACAAACUAGGAUUUGGUAUAUGUAUUAAAUCAGUCUAUCAAUUCUCAACAACUUCAUUUUAUUUAGCUGCAGCUGUUCUUUUAUCCAGAUUAAUUAAUAAAUAGGUUGAAGAAACUAAAAAUAAAGUAAAAGGAAUUAAAAGAAUUAGAAGAAAUUGGUGUUAAAACUUCAUUUUAAUUCUUCAAAAAGAUGAUUUUUAGACUAUAACCUUGUGUGAGAUUAAAAUCUAAUUAUCGUCCCUGAUUCAUUUAAUAACCUCAUUUAGUGAUUAUAUUUUGAUAUUUUAUUUCUCUUGUUCUUCCUUAUUUUUAUUGUAUUAAUUACAUUUGAAUCCAAUUUUCAUUUCAUUUAUCAUAAUAUAUGUUGUUAUAGACAUGCAGGUUAAACUAAUAUUUUAUCCAAUAUAUUUCAAUACAAUUUGUGUGCUCUUCAUUUAGGUAAAUUAAUUUAUUUAAUAUAUUCUGCUAUAUCCAUCGGCAUAGACAUUUAUGCACAUUAAUUCUUUAUAAGACAUUUCGGUAUUGACAUUUAGGUACAUACUACAUUAGUUCAAUAUAAUACAUUUUAGUGCAUACAUUUCGGUACAAAUAUUUAGGAACAGAUGUCACAUCCCGACCCGGGCUCCACCACAUCCGGGGCUUGACUCUACAGUAGCAUGAUAUUGUCCGCUUUGGGCCCUGACCACACCCUCACGGUUUUGUUUUUGGAAACUCACAUGGGAACUUCCCAGUGAGUCACCUAUCAUGGGAUUGCUCUCGCUUAACUUUGGAGUUCCGAUGGAACCCGAAGCCAAUGAGCUCCCAAAAGGCCUCGUGCUAGGUAUAGAUGUGAAUAUAUAUAUAAGGCUUACAAGAUCCUCACCCUUGGGCAAUGUGAGAUGUUACAAUAGACAUAUCGGUACAAAGAAGUCAACUUGAUGUUUUUCGGUAUAGUGAUUUAUGUACACUUGUGUAAUUACAUAUUUACGUGUCAAUAUAUAUAUUUUUAAUGUUUUCUCAUUUAGGUUUGUUUAGAAUUGGAAGAACUAAAUUGUGCAUAUUAAUAAAACCAAAAUUUUAAUGUGAAAACAUGAAAUAAAAAUACACAUUAAAUAACAAAAUAGAAUAUAAAUUUUAAUAAAGGUACAUUUCAAAAGAUUAAAAUGAAUACGUAAUCUAACACCAGUUUUCUUUUUUUUUCUUUCUUUUUUUUAAUAUCAAUUUUUUUCAAUGACUAAUGUUCAAAAACCCCUUUAUUAAUAGAAUUAAUUAGUACCAGUAACCGUCCCAUAAGAGCACAAGAAACAAGUUUCAUUUGCCUAAACUUCACAAGAUACAAUAUCAUUAAAAUCCAACACUGAGAUGCAAUAAUGUUCAUGUCUUAACAGCUCAGAUCUUGGAAUCUUUCGGAGGAGUGUUGGCGAACUUCCACUGCAACGCCAUGAGGAGCACGAAAGCUCUCUCGCCAGCUACUUGGUCGAUUGGUACAGCAUCAGAAACUUCUUUCGCGUCUUCUUCCGUCAGCUUCACCCCCAAGGACCCAAUGUUUGCAUCCAGGUUCUUGAUCUUUGUUGUCCCUGCAGCGGAAAUUGAAAAACAAAUGAACAAUGUGUCGAUCGUUGUGUGUUAUUUUCUUCGCCUAAUUCCAUGGUGUGUGGAAUCUCCUCAGGAAGAUUAGUAACCGCAAACUAUUUGAACAAACUUGGAGCUAACACCUUUUUAAGUUACUUGAGUUCUAAAUCACAUUGUCGUGUGCUUGGAACAAAAUAUUUGAAGUUGAAGAGAAUAAAAAAGUUGCAAGGACUCACCCGGGAUAGGUACGACAUCAAGUCCUUGGUGGAGAACCCAUGCUAGUGCUAUCUGAGCAGUAGAGCACUGGUGCUUCUUAGCAAUGCUUUCUAUUCGAUAGUAAAUGUUCUUGUUCUUGUCUAAGUUCUCUCCUAUGAACCGGGGCUGUGAGGCCUUCAAAACGGAGGAAAACAAGGUUUCAAUAGUCACACAUUUAAGAACAACAUGAUUAGAAUCAACAUUUACUUCUACAAUAGAUGGAGCAGAAGAAAUUACAGCAAAACUAUUUGCAGGCAAACUUUCAACAACUGCUUUGCCACCGAAAAAACCACGACCAAGUGGACUAUAUGGAACUAUUCCGAUGCCAAGCUCCCUGUAUGCGAUAAUUUCAACAAAAUAAUUCACACAAACAAGAGUUAUUAUCGUAACCCCAAUCAACUUUCACAACUACAAUGGAUUUAUACGAACGAGACCAUCUUCAAAAGCACUCCCUCUUUUCCCCUUACAGAAACGGAAUUAUGGAAGCAAUUCAUGGUAACACUUGUGCAUAGCUCAGAUUGGAGCAUACUUGCAAAGUUGUAGAAUUUCUGGUUUAAAGUUUUCAUAUGUAUUUCAUGUGUAUUGGUACAAGAGGGAGUCCGGAUAUAUAUGAGAAGAGGGAGGGAAAGCUGCUAUAUGCAGCCGACAAGAAAUCAGGAAAUGGGGAGAAAGUAGUAGGAAGAAAGUGGAAAAUAAAGCUGCUGCAAGCAGCCAACAAGCAAAUAAAAAAAUAAGGAAUAAAGCUGCCAACCUAUCUGCCAACCUAUCUAAACUUAACUUAUGCAAGUCUACUCCCUUAAAUCAAGGGAAAGGUAUUACAAUGACACUCAACAACACUCCCCCUCAAGCUGGAUCGAGUAGAUUAAUCGAGCCAAGCUUGCCCAAAAAACGAUGAAAUGGAGUAGAUGUCAGAGCCUUGGUAAAGAGAUCUGCUAGUUGAUCAUGGCUUCAAGUGAAGAUGGUCUGAAUGACUUGAGUUUGCACUUGAGCUCUAACAAAAUGACAGUCCACUUCAAUGUGUUUCGUUCUUUCAUGGAACACAGGGUUAGCAGCGAUGUGCAUGGCUGCUUGAUUAUCGCACAUAAGAGACAUAGGAGUAGUGCUAGUAAACCCUAAGUCUGAAAGAAGCCCUUUAAGCCAUAUAAGUUCACAUGCAGUGGCUGCCAUGGCUCGAUAUUCAGCCUCUGCACUAGAGCGAGCAAUGACAUGUUGUUUCUUGCUCUUCCAAGUGACAAGAUUUCCACCAACAAACGUGCAAUAACCCGUGGUAGAUUUCCUAUCAAGAGCAUUCCCUGCCCAAUCUGCAUCAGUGUAGCCACUGAUGGCAGUGGAAUUGUUGUUACGCAUGAUGAUUCCCUGCCCUAUCGAACCCUUGAGAUAACGCAGAACUCUCUUAACCAUGUUAAGAUGAUCAACUGUAGGAGAAUGCAUAAAUUGGCUUACUAGGCUCACUGCAUAUGUGAUAUCCGGACGUGUGAUGGUAAGAUAUAUAAGUUUGCCCACCAAUCGUUGAUAGUAACUCACAUUAUGCAUGGCUUCUCCAUCUGUGUUGAGCCUUAGUUUAGAAUCCACGGGAGUGAUGGCAGGUUUGCAAUCAAGCAUUUUUGCUUCCUGAAGAAGAUCCAAUACAUAUUUCCGUUGAUGUAGAAAUAGCCCCUUUGAAGAGGUUGCCAUUUCUAUGCCCAAAAAAUACUUUAGUUUCCCCAGAUCUUUGAUAGCAAAUGUUUGGCAUAGCGAGACUUUUAGUGCCUCAAUUUCAGCAACACUAUCUCCUGUGAUGAUGAGAUCGUCUACAUAGAUGAGCACCACCAAUUUCCCACUGGUGCCAGUUCUUACAAACAAUGAGGAAUCAGCAUUACUUCGUAGGAAUCCAGCCUUCUCUAGAACUGAACUGAGCUUGGCAUACCAAGCUCUUGGGGAUUGUUUCAAUCCAUAGAUUGCCUUGUGUAGCUUACAAACCAUGUUGCCUUUAAUACCAUCAAAACCUGGAGGAGGCUGCAUAUAAACUUCUUCUUGUAACUCUCCUUGAAGGAAAGCAUUCUUCACAUCCAUUUGAUAAAGAGUCCACCCACAAUUGAUUGCAACUGAGAGUAGAACCCUCACUGAAUUCAUCUUGGCCACAGUAGCAAAUGUUUCCUUGUAAUCUACCCCAAAGGUUUGGGUGAAACCUCGAGCAACAAGCCUAGCCUUGUGUCUCUCGAUAGAACCAUCAGCCUUGAAUUUAAUCUUGUAAAUCCAACGACUUCCAACAACUUUUUUUCCUGGUGGUAGUUGAACCAAGCUCCAAGUUUUAUUUUCUUCUAGAGCACUAAGCUUAUCUGCCAUGGCUUGUUUCCAUUGUGGGAGGAGAAAAGCCUCUUGAAAGCUUCUAGGUUCAUUGUGUUUAUCAAUUUCACAGAGAAAUGUAGCAUGAGAUGUUGAGAACUUACCAAGACUGAUGUUUUCACUGAUAGGAUACCGUGAGGCAUAAGUAACAUAGUCCUGCAGCCUAGUUGGAGGUUUUCUGGUUUGAGGAGGAUUUCUUCUAAGCCCUUGAGGCUCUGUAGGAGAUUGUGAAUUAUCAGAAUGAGACUCCUCGUCUCUCUCAUUGGCCGGGAUACUGCUAUCAGUGAUUGAGUCAGUUUGUAUUUCUUUAAUAUCUGGUAUCACAGUAACUGAACUCUCUUCCAAUACUGGAUUAUUAAUGUUCUGAGGAAGUGGAAAGAUUUCAAACAGUUCAUCCCCCUGACUUGCAAUAUUUCCCUUGUGAGUAAAAUAAGGACAAUAUUCUUCAAACUUCACAUCCCUUGACACAACACAUUUCUUAGUGGUUGGAUUGUAGCACUUGUAUCCCUUUUGGGUGGAAGAAUACCCCACAAACACACACUUGGUUGCCCUGGCAUCUAAUUUGUCACGGUUCAAGGCUUGAAUGUGAACAAAGCAAAACACAUCCAAAUACCUUGAGGUGUGUCAAAUUAAUUUUCCUACCCUUGAGUACUUCAUAGGGAGAUUUAAACCCUAACACACGACUUGGGAGUCGGUUGAUGAGGUAGGUGGCAGUGAGGAUAACAAAUGACCAAAAUUUCUUUGGAACAUGCAUAUGAAGCAUGAGGGCACGAGUCUUCUCCAAGAUAUCUCUAUUUUUUUUCUCUCGGCUACUCCAUUUUGUUGGGGAGUCCCUACACAGCUGGUUUGAUGUAUUAUGCCCUGAGAACUUAUGUAUUGAAGCAUGUUGUUGGAUAGAAAUUCAGUGCCAUUAUCAGAUCUUAACACCUUAAUGUCUGAUUGAAAUUGUGUCUUAACAUGCAUAUGAAAAUCUUUGAAAAUAGUUUGAACUUCACUCUUUGAUUUCAUAAGGUACACAAAACUCAUUCGAGAGAAGUCAUCGAUAAAUAGAACAAAGUACUUGAACCCUUCUAUUGAUUCAGUUGUUGGUCCCCAUACAUCGGUGUGCACCAUUUCAAAGAGUUUACUUGUCCUAGACAUUGAAUUACCAAAAGGUAGUCUAGUAAACUUAGAAAGUUGACAAGUAUCACAAGUAACAUGAUUUUUACAAAAAUUUGGAAAUAAUUUAGACAAGAUAACUUCAGAGGGAUGAGCUAAUCUCUUAUGCCAAAGUUGGUUUUCAUCUACGGACUUUGAUUGAGCUUGAAGGGCCUGAGUAAAACAGGUAUUCUUGCACAGGUAGUAAAGUCCAUUUAUAAAGACCCCUCCACCAAUCAUCUUCAUGGUGAGAACAUCCUGAAACAUCACAUUAUCUGGUAAGAAAAUGGCACGGCAAUUUAGGGUGUUUGUGAUCUUUCCAAUUGACAGAAGUUGGAAAGGAAAGGUUGGUACAUAUAAGGCAGUGGAAGGUGUUUUGUGUGAGAGUAAGUUUAUUUCUCCUUUUCCCAAAACCAAGACAUUUUUUCCAUUUGCAAUAGACACAUGUGAGGGACUUAAAAAACGUUUAAAAUGAUUCAAAUUUGUGACUUUGUUUGUCAUAUGAUCUGUGGCUCCUGAAUCAAUUACCCAACAAUCAUUUUCAGUACUAGUUAAUAGGGCAGUAGUGAAAGCUUUGAGUAUACCUGGUGCUUCAUCCUUUGGGACUUUCUCAUUUCCAGUAAGAAAGCCAGCAAACUGUCCCAACAUGGCUGUAUGACUGCUCUUUUCGUUGCCUCGAGCUUGUGAACCUCCUUCGUGUUCCUUUCUUUGAAGGUAAGCUGCAAACUCAUUGAUAAGUGACAAUGGGUUGGUAGUGAACUCCAUGGAUCCUUGUGAGAUAGUAGAGGGAUGAGCAUUGGCAAGUUGAGCCUUGUAGUGAGGUUGAAAUUGCUGUGAGGACCUUGGUAUCAUUUUUCCAUCUUUGCUGAACUUAGGCUUGAGUUCAGGAUGAAGUUCCCAACACUUGUCUUCCACAUGACCAACGCCAUUGCAAUAUUUGCAUUUCAGGUGUGUAUUUUUACCCUUGUACACUUUUGCCUCUGAGGUCUUGUAGUUUGAGGCAUAUGCACGAGUCUUAGUCAAUCUCGAGUUGUGCUCAGCAUUCAUCACUUUCUUUCUUGCUUCUUCUCGUUGGAUAGUUGCACAGACAUUGUUGAACGUGGGAAGCUCCUGACUCAUCAAGAUGUGACUCCUUAGAUCCUCGUACUCGGAGUUCAAACUCCCCAACAGUUGGUAGAUUUUGUCUUCCUCGUCUCGUUUAAGGAGAAUGAUAGGAUCUGUGGUAUGUGAAAGGUAUACAUCCAACUCAUUCCACAUGGCUUUGAGGCUUCCAAGAUGUUGAACAAAUGCUUUCCCUUCUUGUUGGGCACUGGCUAUGUCCUUCUUAAGUUGAAAGACACGUGCAUAGUUGUUUUGAUUUCCAUACAUAUCUUGCAAUGCUUUCCAAAGCUCACAUGAAGAAUUGUAGUAGCUAAAAAUCUCAGCAACAUGUUUCUCCAUGGUGUUGAGCAGCAAAGACAUGACAAGUUGAUCCUUGCAAAGCCAUGCACCGUAUGAAGGGGAGGAGAUGUCUGGAGCUUCCACACUUCCAUUUACAAAUCCUAAUUUCCCUUUGCCUCCGAGAGCUAGUGACACAGCUCGAGACCAAGGGAGAUAAUUAAACUCAUUCAAGAGAACUGAACACAAACGUUGAUUGGUGUUAACCUCGACGUCUGAGAAAUUUGAAGGAGAGGCAUGCGAGAUGUCACCCUCAAUGUUUAUUGAAUCUUCUUCAGCCAUGGCUUACGAUUGAAAGAAAGAUGCAGCGGGAAGAAUGGCCAGAGACAGGUUACAAAACCUGCUCUGAUACCAUGUAGAAUUUCUGGUUUAAAGUUUUCAUAUGUAUUUCAUGUGUAUUGGUACAAGAGGGAGUCCGGAUAUAUAUGAGAAGAGGGAGGGAAAGCUGCUAUAUGCAGCCGACAAGAAAUCAGGAAAUGGGGAGAAAGUAGUAGGAAGAAAGUGGAAAAUAAAGCUGCUGCAAGCAGCCAACAAGAAAAUAAAAAAAUAAGGAAUAAAGCUGCCAACCUAUCUAAACUUAACUUAUGCAAGUCUACUCCCUUAAAUCAAGGGAAAGGUAUUACAAUGACACUCAACAACAAAAGUGGAACAAUCUCUUCCUCAAUAUCACGAGUCCAGAGGGACCACUCCAUUUGCAGAGCCGUGAUCGGAUGAACUGCAUGCGCUCCUUAUUGUGUCAGGGCUGGCUUCAGAUAACCCAAUGUACUUUAUUUUUCCUUCUUCCACCAGUUUCUUCAGCUCAUCCAUCUAAACUCCACGAAAAACAAACGUAGCCAAUAAAUUUUCCAGCCAGGUACCCACUAAUUUCUACAUGGGGAUGUCUAAUAUUAUACAUUGUGGUUCUAAAGGAACAGAACAGCAUACAGUUUCCUCUAUAGGCACCGAAGUGUCCACCCGGUGGUAAUAAUACAGAUCAAUGUAGUCCACGUCAAGACGUUUCAAGCUAGCCUCACAGCAUGAGCGGACAUACUCAGGAGUUCCCUUCACUACCACACCAGCAGGCGGCACUACUCCAACAAUACCAAACUUUGUGGCCAGUUGAACUUUUUCCCUUGGCAGCUGCUUCAAGGCCUAAAUGGCAGAAAAUUUUCGAUUAGAAUUACAGAAUAUAACAAUCAAAACACAAAUAUAUAAAAGGCAAUGGCAUAUACAUGCUGCUAAUCGUCUACUACUUCACAAAUUAUGUCUAUCCUGCAUCAAGCAAUGCAGAUACUUUGAUUCUGAGUUAAUCUAAAGAAGUAGCUCCAUAAAUUCACAACCGGAAAUACAUACCUUUCCAACAAGAACUUCAUUUGUAUGAGGUCCAUACGCAUCAGCUGUGUCAAAGAAAGUGAUUGCUUUGUUGAAGGCAUGUUUUAUUAUAGCGAUACCAUCCUCAUCAGCGACAGGAGAGUUGUAAGUCCCGGUAAGGCCCAUGCAUCCGAACCCCAACUUUGAGACCUGCAAAAUUUGAAAAAUGAGGAAAAUUUGGCCGAAAUGUAUCUAAACAAUUGAGUAUAUUUACAACCACAGAAAGAAAGCAUCUAAAUCAACUUCUGGAAAAAAGUUUAACCUCAAAACCAAAAGAAUUGGUUAAUGUUCUUUUAAUCUGUCCUAAGAAAAAGUGAGCCUCAAAAGCCUUGAAGAAUAAUAUGGAUUACUAAGUUGAGCAAAUCUGAUCAAUUCCAUUGCAGAAUCAAGCAUAUGCACUGAACAAAAUUCUAUCUGAAGAGAGAGACAGAAUGUGACGGGAACUCUGGCCUCGUUUGGUGACUAGAAUUGGAUUUGAUUUGAUUGGAUUACUCAUAAAAUUCAAGGUAAGUAGAAGGUGGAGGUGAAUGAUAUUUAUUCUGAGAGGACUAGAAGGGAUUAGACACAAAGGAAUCUUCUCCCUUCUAAUCCGACCAUUUUGUAGGAAUUGGAAGGGAAAAUUUUCUUUAACGACUAAUCCAUCUUCUACCUUUAAAGUUCGAAAAAACUCUUCAUUCCUUCCUUCAACCUACCUCGAAUACAACGAGUUAUUUAAUCCAAUCCAAUCCAAGGCAUAGAACGAGCACGUUUAGGAAACUAAAAAUGGAAUCACUAUACCUUCAAAUCCCCAGUAUCCAAGUUUAACUCUUGGAUUCUCUAUUCCCAUCCCCUCCUCAGCCAUAAUAUCCUCUUCUUCUCUAAAAUUAAUUUCUUUUCAUAACUUUUUUCAUAUUAAUCCCAAAUGUAAACAGGAUUUGACCCAACACCAACAGGGUCAUCAACUUUACUAAAUUUUGCAUUUUUACCACAUAAUUUGGUUUGUUGGCAGCAAAAAAGUUUGACUUUUCUGGAUUUAUCCAAGUGGGAUAAUCAGGAAAUCUGAUAUGAACACAAAGCAAGCUAAAAAGUUGACUUUUCUGGAUUGAUUUAUGCAAGUGGGGUUAUCAGGAAAUCUGAUAUGAACACAAACAAAAAUCUGCAUUUCUUCAAAGAAAGAAGAAAGAUUGAAAUUUGGGUAUUGAAAGCAUGAAUGUGAGACUUUACCUCAAGUCCUUGGCUGCCGAGUUUAACUCUUUGAACUUGGACUUGGUUCUCUUCUGCCAUGCUUCCAAAAUUUUGGCCUCUCUCGCUAACUCUCUCUCCCUCGAUUUUAAAAGUCCUCCCACUCUCAGUGUUGUUGGAUCAGCUGGAGCCUGAAGGUUAGGUGUUCUGUCUCUAUUCGAUUAAUAUUUUAAAGGGUUUCAAUAAGGAAUCUAUGGAGUAGAACUUUUGGUCCCCCAUGUUUCGAGUCAGAAGGAGGAGGACUUGAAUUGACAAGUGUUAGCACGGAGCACGUAAUGAACGACUGUCAGCCAUUAAUGGAUGGAGUUAUGUUUGAGAAGCAGAAGAAACUGGUUUACAUGUCGAAUCAUGUGGGAAAUAUGGAAGGGGAAGGUUUGAUGAUGGUGAUGGGGGCGCCAGAAGGCGGGCUCGCAAGGACGGUUAUGGUAUUGAAAGCAUGAUUGAACAGUUAUGUCCUCUUGGGCUCGGAUGGACGAAAACACAAGGUACGUUUUUUAUUUUUUGGAUUCAGUUUUUUCUAAAAGGAUAAAACUGAUUGAACAGUUAUGUCCUCUUGGGCUCGGAUGGACGAAAACACAAGUUACGUUUUUUAUUUUUGGAUUCAGUUUUUUCUGAAAGGAUAAAACUGAUUGCCGGUUAUGGUGACAUUGUCGGAGAAGGAGCUUGCCCAACUUUGUGAGGCAGAAGCUAUUUCGAGCCUUAACCCUACAAUGCUGCUGAGUGGGAGACAAACUAUAUAAAAUUUUCCAUAGCUUCGAAAUAUUUAUUAUAAUUUUAAGACUUUAUAGACUAAGAAUUGAGGAUUGCUCAAUUUUACAAUAGUCGUUUAAGAGCAUUCAGCCUUACAUUCGUUGUCUCGAGUUCGACUCUCCCUCCCAAAUAUCGUAGUAACAAAAACAACCUACAACUCUACUAACACAACUGCCGCACUCUUAGGCAUCAUCCAAUGGCUUGGCUUAAAUUUGUAUCCUUCCUGAUCUGUAUGAUGAUUUAUGCCUUUAAUUUAGAUUCCUUCGGGGGGUGUUGGCGAAUUUCCAUUGAAAGGGACUUACAUUUUCGUAAGUUUUCUCGCCGGCUACUUCGUCGAGAGGCACGGCAUCGGAAAUUUCUUUCAGGUCCUCUUCUUUGAGUUUCAGCGCCAGAGCGCCAAUGUUCGCAUCCAGGUUCUUAAUUUUCGUCGUCCCUGAGGAAAUUCAAAGCAAAUAAAGUAUAAACGAACAAUGUAACUCAUGUUCAUCAAAUUUUAAGGCAUGACAAACUCAUUGGCAUCAUGCAAUGCAAACAAGAUCAUGCAAAUUUAGCACAGAUGAUCAUCCUGGAAUGCAAAUGCAAUCAGUGAGUUGACUCACCGGGGAUCGGAACAACGUCAUUUCCCCUGUGGAAAACCCAUGAGAGGGCUAGUUGAACAGCACUGCAUUCGUGUUUUCUAGCAAGGGUUUCGAUCCGAUAAUAUAUCUGUUUGUUUUUCUCCAAGUUCUCUCCUGUCAACCGAGGAUGUGCAGCCUAAAUUACACACCGAAAACAAAUCAAAUUUAUUUGUUAAGUUUAAGAUUAGCUUAAUUAGCUCUGUUUUUCAUAACUUAAGUGAGCAGAGCAUAAAACAAUGCGCAUUUGUAAUGAAGAAAUUAGUAUCUAC
rnacentral:lncRNA from 1 species